UUAAGGGCGUACGGUGGAUGCCUUGGCGAUAUCAGCCGAAGAAGGACGCGGUAAGCUGCGAUAAGCUACGGAGAGGUGCAAGCAACCUUUGACCCGUAGAUUUCCGAAUGGGGGAACCCGGCAGUGGUUAUGCACUGUCACCCAUACCUUUGAGUAUGAGGAGGGCACCCGGGGAACUGAAACAUCUAAUUACCCGGAGGAACAGUAAUCAAACGAGAUUUUCUUAGUAGCGGCGAGCGAACGGGAAAGAGGCCAAACCGGAGCGGGCAACCGCACCGGGGUUGAGGACAGUCAUCAAGUGUAAAUGAGGUAGAAGAAUCGAGCUGGAAAGCUCAGCCGCAGAAGGUGAAAGCCCUGUAAUCGAAACCUUGCAUACAUGGGACUGUAUCCAGAGUACCACGAGACACGUGAAACCUUGUGGGAAGCAGGGGGGACCACCCUCCAAGCCAAAAUACUGAUAUCGACCGAUAGCGCAUAGUACCGUGAGGGAAAGGUGAAAAGAACCCCUGGCGGGGAGUGAAAGAGAACCUGAAACCGUAUGUCUACAAACAGUCGAAGUCUGUAUAUAUAUCAGGACGACGGCGUGCCUAUUGAAGAAUGAACCGACGAGUUACUGUUGCUAGCGAGGUUAAGUGGAAAACAUGGAGCCGCAGCGAAAGCGAGUCUGAACAGGGCGUUCAGUUAGUAAUAGUAGACCCGAAACCGUAGUGAUCUAUCCAUGGCCAGGUUGAAGCACAGGUAAAAUUGUGUGGAGGACCGAACUCGUGAGCGUUGAAAAGCUUUGGGAUGAGUUGUGGAUAGGGGUGAAAUGCCAAUCGAACACGGAGAUAGCUGGUUCUCCCCGAAAUAGCUUUAGGGCUAGCCUCGAGGUUGAGAGUAUAGGCGGUAGAGCACUGAUCGGGCUAGGGGCCAUACCGGUUACCGAACCUAGUCAAACUACGAAUGGCUAUACUUAUACUCGGGAGUCAGACAGUGAAUGAUAAGGUCCAUUGUCAAGAGGGAAACAGCCCAGAACACCGACUAAGGUCCCCAAUGUUACACUAAGUGGCGAAGGAUGUGGAAUUUCCAAAACAACCAGGAUGUUGGCUUAGAAGCAGCCACCAUUUAAAGAGUGCGUAAUAGCUCACUGGUCGAGUGACAUCGCGCCGAAAAUGUACCGGGGCUAAACAUACAACCGAAGCUGCGGAUAUAACUAAUGUUAUAUGGUAGGAGAGCGUUCUAACAUCAUAGAAGCCGAGCUGGAAGGCGAGGUGGAGAGGUUAGAAGUGAGAAUGCCGGUGUGAGUAGCGAAAGAUAGGUGAGAAUCCUAUCCACCGAAAGACUAAGGUUUCCAGAGGAAGGCUCGUCCGCUCUGGGUAAGUCGGGACCUAAGGUGAAGCCGAAUGGUGAAGCCGAUGGACAACAGGUAGAAAUUCCUGUACCACCAAAUAUCGAUUGAGAGAAGUGGGGACAGAGGAGGCUAAUUGAUCGUCCUGAUGGAAUAGGACGUCUAAGCACAAAGGUUGAGUAGUAGGCAAAUCCGCUGCUCAUAAGACUGAAGUGUGAUGGGGAGCGAAAUUAAAGUAGCGAAGUCAAUGAAGCCAAACUCUCAAGAAAAGCCGCUAUCGAGAUAAGAGGUGCCCGUACCGCAAACCGACACAGGUAGUUGGGAAGAGAAUUCUAAGGUGAGCGAGAGAACCAUCGUUAAGGAACUCGGCAAAAUGACCCCGUAACUUCGGGAGAAGGGGUGCCUACGAGAGUAGGCCGCAGUGAAUAGGCCCAAGCGACUGUUUAACAAAAACACAGGUCUCUGCAAAACCGUAAGGUGAAGUAUAGGGGCUGACGCCUGCCCGGUGCUGGAAGGUUAAGAGGAGUGCUUAGCGUAAGCGAAGGUA
rnacentral:rRNA from 1 species